GCCCUGGUGGUGGAAUUGGUAGACACAAGGGAUUUAAAAUCCCUCGGCGUUCGCGCUGUGCCGGUUCAAGCCCGGCCCGGGGCACCA
rnacentral:tRNA from 1 species